rnacentral:lncRNA from 1 species
UAACAAACAGCCACACCCGGUUCCUGUUAGCAAGCUCCUCUUGGCAAAGGCAGUAGUAUCAGGGCUGCAACACUACUGUGUCACAGACCUUCAAGUUGAAACAACAGUGAUGCUGAAGUUUGACUCAGAUGGAUGAGGUCCUGGGCUUUUCCGAAGUAUUGGGUAAAAGUUGAAGAGAUUUAUUCCCUCAUAGUUCAAAUAGUUCUUUGAACACCUGCACAGUUGGAUUAACUCCCACAGGAAGUUCAUGAAUGGAUCUUACCGUGCACAUCCUAGGAGAGGUCAGAGAUGGCAGCCGCCACCCCAGGGGACUGAGAUUCACAGAGGGAAGACACAUCUAUACAGUCUUACUGUAAAUAAGCACUGUGACUUCUAAAACAGAAUUGCAAACAUUUAUUUGUUAAAUAAAUUGCAUUUCUGAUCUUCAGUGCCUUUGGAAAUUACAGCUUAGAAUGGUUGCUCCUUAUAAGAGGGCAUGCAUUAGGAUUGGACAAAAGAAGAUAAAAGCAAGCAUGAUUGGAAACCAUGCCUAUUGCUCUGUACACUGUAGUUUUUGAAGAUACAGCCUAAUACCACCUCGCUUCAAUACUAUGACUGGAUCCCUAAUCAAAAUCCAUUCUCCUGUGUAACAUGUUUUUCAUUCUCUGAUGUCCUCUGUAAAAAUAAAACAAGCAAGCAAACAAAAACGUGGCUUAAAGAUUCAUUAAAAAUUCCUCACUGACUUGUAUUAAUACAAAUUAGUAGUCAGAAAACAUAAUCCAGUGCAAUGAGAUAGUCGAAGCCGUGGUCUCAGAAGUGCUAUACACAGAUCAUGCAUUAUGGCAUUGGCAAAGGUCAACUCAUACAUGGUACAGUGGUUGUAUGAUAGAAUGAAUCUAGACUGAUUUUAAAGACCUGGAAUUAUACUGGAGGCUAGCUGGGAAGAGGAAGAGAUUCAGAGGGAAAGAGGAGGGAACAUAAGAAAAGUAUAUAUUUACUGCUUCUUCUUAUUGUUUAACAAUAUCUCAUCAAGUUUCUUUGGAAUGAACUAUGGAGAACAGCAUGGCCCCAAUUUUGAGUGACAUUCUGCCUGUGCCUCCGCAAGAGCUUAGACUGAAGACCACCUAAAAUCCCAGAAGGAAAGAAGGAUGAGUCAAGCUGCCUAGAAGAAGUGAAGACCAGAGGAGUUUUCUGGCAAGGGCAAUAUGAAAUCAGUUGAUCUUCCUGCUGACUAUGCACCCCAGGUCUCCUGUUUUCAUGUGCUAUGACAAUGCAGGGAUGGACUUUUGGUGAUGCAGUUCUCCCUGAGUCAUUUCUAUUCCUGUAUUUGACCCAUUAGCCAUAUUCCUACAAGUAAACCCAUAAAAG